GCUGGGCGCGGUGGCUCACGCCUGUAAUCCCAGCACUUUGGGAGGCCGAGGUGGGUGGAUCACCUGAGGUCAGGAGUUCAAGACCAGCCUGGCCAACAUGGUGAAACCCCAUCUCUA
ensembl:misc_RNA Metazoa_SRP Metazoan signal recognition particle RNA